AACGAACGCUGGCGGCAUGCCUAACACAUGCAAGUCGAACGAGAUCUUCGGGUCUAGUGGCGCACGGGUGCGUAACGCGUGGGAAUCUGCCCUUUGGUUCGGAAUAACAGUUGGAAACGACUGCUAAUUCCGGAUGAUGACGAAAGUCCAAAGAUUUAUCGCCAGAGGAUGAGCCCGCGUAGGAUUAGCUAGUUGGGGUGGGAAAGGCGCACCAAGGCGACGAUCCUUGGCUGGUCUGAGAGGAUGAUCAGCCACACUGGGACUGAGACACGGCCCAGACUCCUACGGGAGGCAGCAGUGGGGAAUAUUGGACAAUGGGCGAAAGCCUGAUCCAGCAAUGCCGCGUGAGUGAUGAAGGCCUUAGGGUUGUAAAGCUCUUUUACCCGGGAUGAUAAUGACAGUACCGGGAGAAUAAGCUCCGGCUAACUCCGCGCCAGCCGCCGCCGUAA
rnacentral:rRNA from 1 species